rnacentral:rRNA from 1 species
GAUGAACGCUGGCGGCGUGCCUAAUACAUGCAAGUCGAGCGAACAGAUGAGGAGCUUGCUCCUCUGACGUUAGCGGCGGACGGGUGAGUAACACGUGGAUAACCUACCUAUAAGACUGGGAUAACUUCGAGAAACCGGAGCUAAUACCGGAUAAUAUAUUGAACCGCAUGGUUCAAUAGUGAAAGACGGUUUUGCUGUCACUUAUAGAUGGAUCCGCGCCGCAUUAGCUAGUUGGUAAGGUAACGGCUUACCAAGGUAACGAUGCGUAGCCGACCUGAGAGGGUGAUCGGCCACACUGGAACUGAGACACGGUCCAGACUCCUACGGGAGGCAGCAGUAGGGAAUCUUCCGCAAUGGGCGAAAGCCUGACGGAGCAACGCCGCGUGAGUGAUGAAGGUCUUCGGAUCGUAAAACUCUGUUAUUAGGGAAGAACAAAUGUGUAAGUAACUAUGCACGUCUUGACGGUACCUAAUCAGAAAGCCACGGCUAACUACGUG